ACGGCUCAGUAACACGUGGAUAACAUGCCCUAAGGUGGGGGAUAAUCUCGGGAAACUGAGGAUAAUACCCCAUAGAUCUAGAGCGCUGGAAUGCCUUUAGGUCGAAAACUCCGGUGCCUUAGGAUUGGUCUGCGGUCUAUCAGGCAGUAGUGGGUGUAAUGGACCCACUAGCCCGUGACGGAUAUGGGCCUUGAGAGAGGGUGCCCAGAGAUGGACUCUGAGACAUGAGUCCAGGCCCUACGGGGCGCAGCAGUCGCGAAAACUUCGCAAUGGGGGAAACCCCGACGAGGGAAUUCCAAGUGCUAGCACUUUGUGUUAGCUGUUCUUCUGUCUAAAAAACAGGAGAAGUAAGGGGCGGGUAAGACGGGUGCCAGCCGCCGCGGCAAUACCCGCGCCCCGAGUGGUGGUCGAUAUUAUUGAGCCUAAAACGUUCGUAGCCGGUCUUCUAAAUCCUUGGGUAAAUCGGGCAGCUUAACUGUCCGAAUUCCGGGGAGACUGGGAGACUUGGGACCGGGAGAGGUCAGAGGUACUUCUGGGGUAGGGGUAAAAUCCUGUAAUCCUGGAAGGACCACCGGUGGCGAAGGCGUCUGACUAGAACGGAUCCGACGGUGAGGAACGAAGCCCUGGGGCGCAAACGGGAUUAGAUACCCCGGUAGUCCAGGGUGUAAACGCUGCGGGCUUGGUGUUGGGGGUCCUUAGUGGGCGCCCAGUGCCGGAGAGAAGUUGUUAAGCCUGCUGCUUGGGGAGUAUGUCCGCAAGGAUGAAACUUAAAGGAAUUGGCGGGGGAGCAC
rnacentral:rRNA from 1 species